rnacentral:rRNA from 1 species
GACGAACGCUGGCGGCGUGCUUAAUACAUGCGAGUCGAACGGAAAGGCCCUGCUUUUGUGGGGUGCUCGAGUGGCGAACGGGUGAGUAACACGUGAGUAACCUGCCCUUGACUUUGGGAUAACUUCAGGAAACUGGGGCUAAUACCGGAUAGGAGCUCCUGCUGCAUGGUGGGGGUUGGAAAGUUUCGGCGGUUGGGGAUGGACUCGCGGCUUAUCAGCUUGUUGGUGGGGUAGUGGCUUACCAAGGCUUUGACGGGUAGCCGGCCUGAGAGGGUGACCGGCCACAUUGGGACUGAGAUACGGCCCAGACUCCUACGGGAGGCAGCAGUGGGGAAUAUUGCACAAUGGGCGGAAGCCUGAUGCAGCAACGCCGCGUGCGGGAUGACGGCCUUCGGGUUGUAAACCGCUUUCGCCUGUGACGAAGCGUGAGUGACGGUAAUGGGUAAAGAAGCACCGGCUAACUACGUG